rnacentral:rRNA from 1 species
AGUGAACGCUGGCGGUAGGCCUAACACAUGCAAGUCGAACGGCAGCACAGUAAGAGCUUGCUCUUACGGGUGGCGAGUGGCGGACGGGUGAGGAAUACAUCGGAAUCUACUUUUUCGUGGGGGAUAACGUAGGGAAACUUACGCUAAUACCGCAUACGACCUACGGGUGAAAGCAGGGGAUCUUCGGACCUUGCGCGAUUGAAUGAGCCGAUGUCGGAUUAGCUAGUUGGCGGGGUAAAGGCCCACCAAGGCGACGAUCCGUAGCUGGUCUGAGAGGAUGAUGGGCCGGAGUGGAGGGGGGAGGGGGGGCAGGGUCCUGCGGGAGGCAGCAGUGGGGAAGAGUGGACAAUGGGCGCAAGCCUGAUCCAGCCAUACCGCGUGGGUGAAGAAGGCCUUCGGGUUGUAAAGCCCUUUUGUUGGGAAAGAAAAGCAGCAGGUUAAUACCCCGCUGUUCUGACGGUACCCAAAGAAUAAGCACCGGCUAACUUCGUG